rnacentral:rRNA from 1 species
AACCCAGUGUGAUUCGUCACACUAUCAUUAACUGAAUCCAUAGGUUAAUGAGGCGAACCGGGGGAACUGAAACAUCUAAGUACCCCGAGGAAAAGAAAUCAACCGAGAUUCCCCCAGUAGCGGCGAGCGAACGGGGAGCAGCCCAGAGCCUGAAUCAGUGUGUGUGUUAGUGGAAGCGUCUGGAAAGGCGCGCGAUACAGGGUGACAGCCCCGUACACAAAAAUGCACAUGCUGUGAGCUCGAUGAGUAGGGCGGGACACGUGGUAUCCUGUCUGAAUAUGGGGGGACCAUCCUCCAAGGCUAAAUACUCCUGACUGACCGAUAGUGAACCAGUACCGUGAGGGAAAGGCGAAAAGAACCCCGGCGAGGGGAGUGAAAAAGAACCUGAAACCGUGUACGUACAAGCAGUGGGAGCACGCUUAGGCGUGUGACUGCGUACCUUUUGUAUAAUGGGUCAGCGACUUAUAUUCUGUAGCAAGGUUAACCGAAUAGGGGAGCCGAAGGGAAACCGAGUCUUAACUGGGCGUUAAGUUGCAGGGUAUAGACCCGAAACCCGGUGAUCUAGCCAUGGGCAGGUUGAAGGUUGGGUAACACUAACUGGAGGACCGAACCGACUAAUGUUGAAAAAUUAGCGGAUGACUUGUGGCUGGGGGUGAAAGGCCAAUCAAACCGGGAGAUAGCUGGUUCUCCCCGAAAGCUAUUUAGGUAGCGCCUCGUGAAUUCAUCUCCGGGGGUAGAGCACUGUUUCGGCAAGGGGGUCAUCCCGACUUACCAACCCGAUGCAAACUGCGAAUACCGGAGAAUGUUAUCACGGGAGACACACGGCGGGUGCUAACGUCCGUCGUGAAGAGGGAAACAACCCAGACCGCCAGCUAAGGUCCCAAAGUCAUGGUUAAGUGGGAAACGAUGUGGGAAGGCCCAGACAGCCAGGAUGUUGGCUUAGAAGCAGCCAUCAUUUAAAGAAAGCGUAAUAGCUCACUGGUCGAGUCGGCCUGCGCGGAAGAUGUAACGGGGCUAAACCAUGCACCGAAGCUGCGGCAGCGACGCUGAUGCGUUGUUGGGUAGGGGAGCGUUCUGUAAGCCUGCGAAGGUGUGCUGUGAGGCAUGCUGGAGGUAUCAGAAGUGCGAAUGCUGACAUAAGUAACGAUAAAGCGGGUGAAAAGCCCGCUCGCCGGAAGACCAAGGGUUCCUGUCCAACGUUAAUCGGGGCAGGGUGAGUCGACCCCUAAGGCGAGGCCGAAAGGCGUAGUCGAUGGGAAACAGGUUAAUAUUCCUGUACUUGGUGUUACUGCGAAGGGGGGACGGAGAAGGCUAUGUUGGCCGGGCGACGGUUGUCCCGGUUUAAGCGUGUAGGCUGGUUUUCCAGGCAAAUCCGGAAAAUCAAGGCUGAGGCGUGAUGACGAGGCACUACGGUGCUGAAGCAACAAAUGCCCUGCUUCCAGGAAAAGCCUCUAAGCAUCAGGUAACAUCAAAUCGUACCCCAAACCGACACAGGUGGUCAGGUAGAGAAUACCAAGGCGCUUGAGAGAACUCGGGUGAAGGAACUAGGCAAAAUGGUGCCGUAACUUCGGGAGAAGGCACGCUGAUAUGUAGGUGAAGUCCCUCGCGGAUGGAGCUGAAAUCAGUCGAAGAUACCAGCUGGCUGCAACUGUUUAUUAAAAACACAGCACUGUGCAAACACGAAAGUGGACGUAUACGGUGUGACGCCUGCCCGGUGCCGGAAGGUUAAUUGAUGGGGUCAGCGCAAGCGAAGCUCUUGAUCGAAGCCCCGGUAAACGGCGGCCGUAACUAUAACGGUCCUAAGGUAGCGAAAUUCCUUGUCGGGUAAGUUCCGACCUGCACGAAUGGCGUAAUGAUGGCCAGGCUGUCUCCACCCGAGACUCAGUGAAAUUGAACUCGCUGUGAAGAUGCAGUGUACCCGCGGCAAGACGGAAAGACCCCGUGAACCUUUACUAUAGCUUGACACUGAACAUUGAGCCUUGAUGUGUAGGAUAGGUGGGAGGCUUUGAAGUGUGGACGCCAGUCUGCAUGGAGCCGACCUUGAAAUACCACCCUUUAAUGUUUGAUGUUCUAACGUUGACCCGUAAUCCGGGUUGCGGACAGUGUCUGGUGGGUAGUUUGACUGGGGCGGUCUCCUCCUAAAGAGUAACGGAGGAGCACGAAGGUUGGCUAAUCCUGGUCGGACAUCAGGAGGUUAGUGCAAUGGCAUAAGCCAGCUUGACUGCGAGCGUGACGGCGCGAGCAGGUGCGAAAGCAGGUCAUAGUGAUCCGGUGGUUCUGAAUGGAAGGGCCAUCGCUCAACGGAUAAAAGGUACUCCGGGGAUAACAGGCUGAUACCGCCCAAGAGUUCAUAUCGACGGCGGUGUUUGGCACCUCGAUGUCGGCUCAUCACAUCCUGGGGCUGAAGUAGGUCCCAAGGGUAUGGCUGUUCGCCAUUUAAAGUGGUACGCGAGCUGGGUUUAGAACGUCGUGAGACAGUUCGGUCCCUAUCUGCCGUGGGCGCUGGAGAACUGAGGGGGGCUGCUCCUAGUACGAGAGGACCGGAGUGGACGCAUCACUGGUGUUCGGGUUGUCAUGCCAAUGGCACUGCCCGGUAGCUAAAUGCGGAAGAGAUAAGUGCUGAAAGCAUCUAAGCACGAAACUUGCCCCGAGAUGAGUUCUCCCUGACUCCUUGAGAGUCCUGAAGGAACGUUGAAG